UUUGUGCAACAAUGAUAACAACUAACCUACUUUUUUCUGGUUUAUGGAACAGAGACAAAUCAAGGACAGUCUUGCAGGAAGCAAGAAGCAAAGGCUGUCAAAUACGCUGAGGAAGAAAUUGUAGACAAAUUUCAACAGAGCAAGCAUAUCUGGCAACAUCCCAUGGAGACAAGAUUGUUGAGAGCCAUGGUGAGGCAUGAAGCUGAUACCCAAGGCAUCUGCCAAGACUGAAAGCCUCCUCUGAGCACUCCAGUCUGCAAGCUGAAGAUUGGACUCAUGAACUUCUUAGUCUCUUUACUAAUCCUAAGCUACUUGCACAAUGACCAAAAUCAUUGAGUUCUGUGAUUAAAAUACACCUACACACAUAGAUUCUGAUGUUGUGACUUGAAUUUGACUCAAUAUCAUGAAGAUCGAAGUCAAGAUGAAGCAAUCAAAAAGUUACGCAUGCUCCUGAGAUCCCUUUCACCUAAGCUAGACUACCUGGAUCACACCCUGCUAAAUGCAAAACUCACAUUAAAAAAACAAUUAAUUUAUUAAUUAAUUGACAGGCAGUUUGAGAAUAUUGUCUACGUUCCAAACUCGUUAGCUCAAAAAACGGCAUUCGUGGCUUGUUUUUUUUAUAGAAUGUCUGGCAAAACAGGGCUCUGACCUUCGCUGAUUCUCAGUUGCUUUCCUAAUAAGAGAACAAUUCACAAUAUUAAGUGCAAUAAACUUUAGGACGUUUCUAUAGAGAUUAACAUUUUUAAACAUUUACUCUUCAGUAUACAUUCAAACAGCUUCAGAGAGUUUCUUUACAAUGCUCAGCUGCACAAACAGAAUUUGGCCUAUUUCACAAAGUCUUAUCAAUGAAAGCCCAGAAGAAGGAAAAAAAAAAACAACCUGAGAGGAUAGAGGAAUUGUAUCAGUUGGAUAAAAUGAGCAGAAGUUGUGAGUGAGUGAUGUAGUAGAGGUUCAUGUGGUUCAUUUCCACAUAUCUUGCCAUGUCCAUGUUUUCAGAGACGGAAGAAUCAUCACUCUUACAGACCAGAAGAACUUCAUUUUUAAUUAAUUGGAGUGAAAGGCUAAGUGCCUGGAAUCUUUGCUCAAGAUCUGUUUCAUUUUAAAAUGUAUGCCAGCAGUUAAAUUAGCCAUAAUUGUUUAAUUAUUCAUACCAGAAUAGUUACCUAUCUUGAGAGAAGUGCCCUUGCAAUCAUUUCAGUAAAUAUAAUUGUAUUAAUCAGGUUGAGGAUAACAGGUUCAAAGUUGUAAAUCCUGACAAUCUUUUACCAUACAAAAUGUUAUUAUAAGCAUUAACGCAUUGUUAAUGCUUGUUAUCGAGACAACAGCGGUUCCUCAGGGGUCAGGAAGUUUAUGCUAAGGCACAUAUCCUUAAGGGCACUGAGUA